AUUGAACGCUGGCGGCAUGCCUUACACAUGCAAGUCGAACGGCAGCACGGGUGCUUGCACCUGGUGGCGAGUGGCGAACGGGUGAGUAAUACAUCGGAACGUACCUUAUCGUGGGGGACAACGCAGCGAAAGCUGUGCUAAUACCGCAUACGUCCUGAGGGGGAAAGCGGGGGAUCGCAAGACCUCGCGCGAUUAGAGCGGCCGAUGCCUGAUUAGCUUGUUGGUGGGGUAAAAGCCCACCAAGGCGACGAUCAGUAGCUGGUCUGAGAGGACGAUCAGCCACACUGGGACUGAGACACGGCCCAGACUCCUACGGGAGGCAGCAGUGGGGAAUUUUGGACAAUGGGGGCAACCCUGAUCCAGCAAUGCCGCGUGAGUGAAGAAGGCCUUCGGGUUGUAAAGCUCUUUUGUCAGGGAAGAAACACCGGCUCUAACACAGUCCGGGAAUGACGGUACCUGGAGAAUAAGCACCGGCUAACUACGUGCCAGCAGCCGCGGUAA
rnacentral:rRNA from 1 species